GUCUACGACCAUACCUCGCUGAAUAUACGGCAUCCCGUCCGAUGUGCCAAGUUAAGCACCGUUGGUCUGGGGUAGUACUUAGACCGGAGACGGCCCGGGAAUUCCCAAUGUCGCAGGUA
rnacentral:rRNA from 1 species